rnacentral:lncRNA from 1 species
UUCAGCUCAGCGGAGGGAAUCGGGAGUGCAGGGUACCAUGUCAGUGUUGCCUUGAUGCAGAGAUGCUCCAUGAUUGUCUUGCAGAGUUUGAGAAGACUACAGAUGUUCAGCUUUUAGAGUAGGUAUCUGCAGCACUGGGCUUGAUCCAACCGUAUAAAGACCGCACGUUUCUUUGGAGAUGCUCUGCAUCUUGACUAUGAGCAGAGGAUUUGUGCAGUGACUAGACAGUGUGGAUUCUUAGCCCAAUUGGAGGAGAGGGACCUGAAGCUACAACUGAGCUGUUAAGGGUGCUGGGU